rnacentral:rRNA from 1 species
GUCUUUUAGGUAAUUAUUUAAGGUUUGGCCUGCUCCAUGACUGGAUUAAAUAGCCGCAGUAUUUUGACUGUGCAAAGGUAGCAUAAUCAUUAGUUUUUUAAUUGAGAGCUGGAAUGAAUGGUCGGAUGAGAAAAUUUCUGUCUCACUUUAAAUUUAGUUGAAUUUUAUUUUUAAGUUAAAAAGCUUAAAUUUUAUAAAAAGACGAGAAGACCCUAUAGAGUUUCAUAGACUUAGAAUUUAACAUUUAAAGGGUUAAAAAUAUGAGAUUUUCUGGUUUAUUUUGUUGGGGUGACAGGAGAAUUUACUUAACUUCUCUUAAUUUUCACACUGAUUAGUGAUUUGAGGAUCCUAUAUUUUGGAUUAUAAGAUUAAAUUACCUUAGGGAUAACAGCGUAAUUCUUUUGGAGAGUUCUUAUCGAUAAAAGGGAUUGCGACCUCGAUGUUGGAUUAAAAUUAAAUUCUGGUGCAGAGGCUAGAUAUUUUGAGUCUGUUCGACUCUUAAAAUUUUACAUGAUCUGAGUUUAAACCGGCGUGAGCCAGGUUGGUUUCUAUCUUUUAUAGUAAAAAUAUCUUAGUACGAAAGGACCAGGUAUUUGAAUAAUAUUUUAUAUUUGAUUAGAAUUGUUAUUUUGGCAGAGUAGUGCAAUAGAUUUAGAAUCUUUAUAUGUAAUGAUAUUACAGAUAACAAUUUAUUUUUUUGAUUUGUUUUUAUUGUUUAUUUCAAUGUUGGUUUUAGUGGUCUGUGUGUUGGUGGGCGUGGCCUU